UACGGAGGAUGCAAGCGUUAUCCGGAAUGAUUGGGCGUAAAGCGUCCGCAGGUGGCUGUGUAAGUCUGCUGUCAAAGAGCGAAGCUCAACUUCGUAAAGGCAGUUGAAACUGAGCAUCUAGAGUGCGAUAGGGGCAAGGGGAAUUCCCAGUGUAGCGGUGAAAUGCGUAGAUAUUGGGAAGAACACCGGUGGCGAAAGCGCCUUGCUGGGUCUGCACUGACACUGAGGGACGAAAGCUAGGGGAGCGAAAGGG
rnacentral:rRNA from 1 species